UACGUAGGGGGCAAGCGUUGUCCGGAAUUAUUGGGCGUAAAGAGCGCGUAGGCGGUCCGGUAAGUCAGCUGUGAAAGUCAAGGGCUCAACCCUUGAAAGCCGGUUGAUACUGUCGGGCUAGAGUCCGGAAGAGGCGAGUGGAAUUCCCGGUGUAGCGGUGAAAUGCGCAGAUAUCGGGAGGAACACCAAUGGCGGAGGCAGCUCGCUGGGACGGUACUGACGCUGAGGCGCGAAAGCGUGGGGAGCAAACAGG
rnacentral:rRNA from 1 species